AUGCUCCUCCGAGCCGCCCGCCCGGCGCGCCCUCCGGAACGCGCGGACACCCCCACCGUGUCACCAGGCGGCGCGUCCUCCCGGCCCCCGCCGCCCUCGCCUACCUUCUGGCGGCCUCUCCGUCGCGCCCGCACCGCCGGCCGCCCGCCUCCGGCGCUCUGCAAAGCGAAAGGGGACGCUUUGUUAGGGCUCAAGAAACGGGACAAUACUUCGCAGCCGGCGCCGCGGUUCCGGGCGGGCGUCCUUCAAAANNNNNNNNNNNNNNNNNNNNNNNNNNNNNNNNNNNNNNNNNNNNNNNNNNNNNNNNNNNNNNNNNNNNNNNNNNNNNNNNNNNNNNNNNNNNNNNNNNNNCCCGUGGCGCCGGGGCGGCCGAGGGAGGAGGGCCGAGCGGUUUCCCGGCCCCCGCGGGGUCCGUCCCCCGGCCCCCACCUGGACAGGGACUGUGCCCCAGGUCCCGGGGACUGCUCAGUCUCUGCCAUGGGAGCCUCAUGCUACUGGUUUUCUCUCCAAGCAUCCCUUUUACCUGCAAGAAUCCUUAAGGCUGCGAUUGCUCCUGGAAGCCAUGGGCUGUGAGAGGUGGCAUUCAUUCCCUAUGGAGAAAGGUCAGAAUUGGUGGGGGUUGUAUGAUUUGAGAAACACAAGAUACUCUUUCUUUUUUUUUUUUUUUAGCAUAUAGUGCAACAAUGAUUUUAUUUUUUUUAAUAUUUUAUUGUCAAAUUGUUUUCCAUACAACACCCAGUGCUCUUCCCCUCAAGUGCCCUCCAUCAUCACCACCACCUCUCUUCCCCCCUCCCCCCUCCCCCCAACCCUCAGUUCAUUCUCAGCAUUCAGUAGUCUCUCAAGUUCUGUAUCCCUCUCUCUCCCCAACUUUCUCUCCCUCCUCCGCUCCCUCUGGUUCUCCAUUAGGUCUCUCUUGUUUUCCUGCUAGACCUAUGAGUGCAAACAUAUGGCAAGAUACUCUUUCUUGAGAGGGGUGAAGGAGGUGGAGUUAAUGCUGGAUCUAGAAACUUGAAAUCACAUCCAACCACCAGUCUUGCUGCAAAGAAGGAGAGUAUGUGAGGCAUGAGCACUUGGUGGUGCAGCUUUGCAAGGUCAGCCCCAAUAAGGCAGAUAAUUUAACACCAUGUGCCUGCAAUUUAGGUUACACAGGGUGGAAGGUUAAUCUUGUUACAGUCUAGAGUCACUGGAAAACAAAGACUUACCUUAGAACGAAUCACGUAAGCUUUUCUCUGUUAAGAAAAAAUGAAGAUAACAGCAGAAAUAGUAGCUAAGCUCCAAUUCUACAUUAUAUACAAUAGGAGGAAAAAUGAAAAGAAGCAUAAACAUUUACCCAGCCUUCACAAGCCACAUUUCACUUUUAUCUGUUGCAGUUUAUCUGCCUCUGAUAUCAACUCCCACAAAGAGCCUUGUUCAAGGACUCAGGAUCCUUAAAAUGUUUGUAGGUGAUGUUUUCAAGUGGCAUUUCUCCAACAUUUUUCAGUAUUGGACUGGCUUUCUCAAGUGGCUAAAAGCUCUAAAAAGUUAACCAAAGAAUAAUCUAGGGAAGAGAAAGUUAUUCUUGUUUCUUCUUGAAGUAACUAUGUAAUGAUUAGUUUAGAGUCAGGGCAACAAAAAUCUUUUUCUUUUUUUUUUUUAAAGAAGAAAGAGAAAAUGCAGGCUUUGUAAAUUUCCUGGAAUCUACAAAGUUAUAUACAUACACACAUACAGUAUAUACACAUGUGUGUGUGUAUGUGUGUGUGUGUGUGUGUGUGUGUGUGUGUAUUUUUUUUUCUGGACAAGGAAAGCUAAUAGUUCAAACCAAACUCAGUCUACCCUAACCCAAAGUCACAAUUGGGUAUAAGUUAUUCCUUAUAGUACAGUAAACAAACAAAAACAACAACAAAACAACACCUCUUCUGUCACUCCAUAGAACUCCCAGCUGCUUCUACACUUGUUUAAUAAAUAUUUUUCUUAUUUCCCUCACCAUGUGAACUAAUCAGAACCAUCUUCAGGUAAGUUGCAAAACUGCCUCAGGUGGUGCUCAGUGGUUAAAGCAGAUUUUUAGUUAUAGUCCAAGCUAGGGACUGUUUGGAUGAAAGGGACAUCAUAUUCUCCCCAAGAACCUAAGGAAAUGGGUGGUGAAAGGAGGAAAGGGGAAAUUUGGAAAUUUGGGUUCCAUCCAGGUGUGUAAGUCAAAGGCUAGGAGAAAGUUUCAGUGACAAAAUGGUGGUGGUAAGAAGCCAGGAAGAAAGGAGAUAAGCACAGAAAAGGGACAGGAAGUAGACAGAAGGCAAACUAUUUACACUUUUGCCCCUGAAGGAUGCUCAUUUGGAAUUAGGGUUCUCCAUUUUCCCUCAUGAAAUAUAUGAAAGAAGAGGAUACAUGGAUUCAGCACAAUUUAUUAUUAUUUUUUAAAUAAGCACGGAGUACCUAGUCUGUGCUACUACUGUCCUGGAAACCAUGAGAUAUUCAAAAUAACAUCCUCCUUGGCUCUGCCCUUGAAUGUUUCAUUCUCCCUUGGGAAGCAAGCAACAUGCACAGGAGAGGGUAAGGGAAUAAUGAGAGGUAGCACAGGAUUCUAAUCUAAUCCAGUUGGGAAGAUACAGACAUACAGCAUGACAGGGAAGAGAGGGAUGAGUCCCCAAAACAUGGCUUCUGUCAGGUCAUUCAGCCCAUGGUCUUCCAUGUCAGGUGCUGGAUCUCCUUCCUGAUAGGCAAAGCAUCUACCUGAUCCUGCAGGUGAAUGGACGCUCAGUGUCUCCACACAGCCUAUCCUCCUACUCGACUCUGAUGGGCCUCUGAAUCUUCCCGUGCUGCUCUCUGCCCAGCUCAUCAGACCUCAGGCAUAGUUGAUAUCCUGUCUCUGUCUGCCACCUUUCAUUGGACCCAAUGACUAAGGCACAACGGGAAGUGGUUCUUGGCCAUGUGCUUUCUGGAGCUCACAAAUCGAGCAUUUUGGUGUUUCCCAAACACUUGGUGGGCACUCACGUGAAGAAGAGAGGUGGCCUGUGUGUCUGGAGCAGGGGAGACCUGCUCUUCACUUGGGUGGGCAUCGAUUUUCAUGUUUCUGUAAUCUGGAAAUGUUCUAUUCUAAAAACUAUAUGUGCUUGAAGAUGGACACUCCAGCUCCACUCAAAGUCAAAGAAAAUGAAAUUCUAGUUUAAGAAACAUUGGUGUUCCUUCCCCUCACGCUCUCUUAAACACUUAGCCAAAAUGACAUGACAACUUUACCUUUUUUAGAAAAAGACCUUUGAAUGGAAAAUGAUAAAAUAUUUUUUCCCAAGCAAGACUCGUUUCAGUUUUUUAAGAAUUUGAUGUACAUCCAGAAGACAUGGGAACCCAGAAGCCUCUAUUUUAAAAUAGGUAACUAACAACUAAAUAAAUUUUAAAAACAGUUCUGUCCAAUAGAAAUGUAAUACAAG
rnacentral:lncRNA from 1 species